rnacentral:rRNA from 1 species
UAGGCGCACGGGUGCGUAACGCGUAUGCAACCUACCCUUGACUGGGGAAUAGCCUUCCGAAAGGGAGAUUAACACCGCAUAACACCGGGGACUGGCAUCGGUUCCCGGUUAAAUCUGAGGAGGUCGAGGAUGGGCAUGCGUCCGAUUAGCUAGUUGGCGGGGUAGUGGCCCACCAAGGCCACGAUCGGUCGGGGACCUGAGAGGGCGAUCCCCCACACUGGCACUGAGAUACGGGCCAG